UGCUUGGGUAGCUCAAUUGGUAGAGCACUUGCCCGUGAAAGGCAAAGGUCCCGAGUUCGAGUCUCGGUCCGGCAU
rnacentral:tRNA from 1 species